rnacentral:rRNA from 1 species
UUCCAGACUCCUACGGGAGGCAGCAGUGGGGAAUAUUGGGCAAUGGGCGCAAGCCUGACCCAGCAACGCCGCGUGAAGGAAGAAGGCUUUCGGGUUGUAAACUUCUUUUAAGAGGGAAGAGCAGAAGACGGUACCUCUUGAAUAAGCCACGGCUAACUACGUGCCAGCAGCCGCGGUAAUACGUAGGUGGCAAGCGUUGUCCGGAUUUACUGGGUGUAAAGGGCGUGUAGCCGGGCUGACAAGUCAGAUGUGAAAUUCCGGGGCUCAACCCCGGACCUGCAUUUGAAACUGUUGGUCUUGAGUAUCGGAGAGGCAGGCGGAAUUCCUAGGGUAGCGGUGAAAUGCGUAGAUAUACGGAGGAACACCAGUGGCGAAGGCGGCCUGCUGGACAUUAACUGACGCUGAGGCGCGAAAGCGUGGGGAGCAAACAGGAUUAGAUACCCCCGUAU